rnacentral:misc_RNA from 1 species
GAAAUGCGAUAAGUAAUGUGAAUUGCAGAAUUCAGUGAAUCAUCGAAUCUUUGAACGCACCUUGCGCUCCUUGGUAUUCCUUGGAGCAUGCCUGUUUGAGUAUCAUGAAUUCUUCAAAGUAAAUCUGUUGUUAACUCAAUUGGUUUCUACUUUGGUAUUGGAGGUCUUUGCAGCUUCACACCUGCUCCUCUUUGUUCAUUAGCUGGAUCUCAGUGUUAUGCUUGGUUCCACUCGGCGUGAUAAGUUAUCUAUCGCUGAGGACACUGUAAAAGGUGGCCAAGGUAAAUGCAGAUGAACCGCUUCUGAUAGUCCAUUGACUUGGACAAUACUUUUAUGAUCUGAUCUCAAAUCAGGUAGGACUACCCGCUGAACUUAAGC